rnacentral:tmRNA from 1 species
GUUCUUUUCUCGGUAAUGAAGUUGCACUAUAUCAGACGUGUUCCUUCGGGAACUAUAGCGAUAAACUCGCGUGUAAUAAGCGGUUCGGACCCGGGGGCGGUACCCGGCGGCUCCACCAUAUUUGCCCGUCAUUGGCGGAUGGUUCUGGGGCCGAAAUAGGAUCGACGGACGUGUAAAGACGAUGAUUUCGCUCGAUUGAGCUCCGUCAGAAGCUCAUUAUCACAUAGUUGCCAAUGACAACUUUGCUGAAGGUGAACUGCUCGCAGCGUAAGCUGUGCGUGGAUUACCGCAUAAACUCCUAGCCUCUUAGCAGGGCUAGGCGGGGCCCGGAGGCGCCUGGCAACAGAAGCCUCCACU